AAAGAACCAAAAAGACAGAAAUGAC
rnacentral:rasiRNA from 1 species